rnacentral:RNase_P_RNA from 1 species
AGUACUGACCAAUCGCUGCUUAAUUGUAGAGGAAAGUCCACGCUAGCACAAACUGCAAUGUUUGUAGUGUUCAUGAUGAAGGAAAAAAUAACUUCAUGCACAUUUUUAAUGUGACGGCAGGCUCUUAUCUAAGUGUUUUAUAUACAUAUGGUAAUCCUUGAAAGUGCCACAGAGACGAAUUUUUUAGAAAUAAAAAAGUGGAACGGGUAAACCCCAUGAGCUAGAAACCCAAAUAAAGGCGUAGCCUAUGGUAGGGGAAUUUAAAUUCAAGAAACAAAUUGAAAUUUAAAAGAUGAUUUAUCAUCUAGAUAAAUGAUUGGAUAAAACAAAACGUGGCUUACUGGU